GGGAGCUUGCUCCUUGAUUCAGCGGCGGACGGGUGUAGUAAUGCCUAGGAAUCUGCCUGGUAGUGGGGGACAACGUUUCGAAAGGAACGCUAAUACCGCAUACGUCCUACGGGAGAAAGCAGGGGACCUUCGGGCCUUGCGCUAUCAGAUGAGCCUAGGUCGGAUUAGCUAGUUGGUGGGGUAAUGGCUCACCAAGGCGACGAUCCGUAACUGGUCUGAGAGGAUGAUCAGUCACACUGGAACUGAGACACGGUCCAGACUCCUACGGGAGGCAGCAGUGGGGAAUAUUGGACAAUGGGCGAAAGCCUGAUCCAGCCAUGCCGCGUGUGUGAAGAAGGUCUUCGGAUUGUAAAGCACUUUAAGUUGGGAGGAAGGGCAGUAAGCUAAUACCUUGCUGUUUUGACGUUACCGACAGAAUAAGCACCGGCUAACUCUGUGCCAGCAGCCGCGGUAAUACAGAGGGUGCAAGCGUUAAUCGGAAUUACUGGGCGUAAAGCGCGCGUAGGUGGUUCGUUAAGUUGGAUGUGAAAGCCCCGGGCUCAACCUGGGAACUGCAUCUAAAACUGGCGAGCUAGAGUACGGUAGAGGGUGGUGAAUUUUCCUGUGUAGCGGUGAAAUGCGUAAUAUAGGAAGGAACACCAGUGGCCGA
rnacentral:rRNA from 1 species